UACGUAGGGGGCAAGCGUUGUCCGGAAUCAUUGGGCGUAAAGAGCGCGUAGGCGGCGCGGUACGACCGCUGUGAAAGCCCCCAGCUCAACUGGGGAGGGUCAGCGGUAACGGCCGUGCUAUGAGUGCAGGAGAGGGAAGUGGAACUCCGGGAGUAGCGGUGAAAUGCGUAGAGACCCGGAGGAACACCAGUGGCGAAGGCGGCUUCCUGGUCUGCGACUGACGCUGUGGCGCGAAAGCUAGGGGAGCAAACGGG
rnacentral:rRNA from 1 species